rnacentral:lncRNA from 1 species
UUUUACUUUAUGCCAUUUACAUUAUGUACAUUAACUACUAUGUAUGUUUUAUGUAGCAUCCCCGAAUCCGGUUCCCAAAUCGCCGCGGAUCCGGUAUACUAAUUCUAUCACUAUUGCGGAAGAUAUAAACAUAAAUUGUUUAUACAUUAAACUUUACACACUAUUUCCCCAAAAUCGAGUAACCUUAACUAAUACACAAUCAUAAACUAUCUAACACAUGACAAUACUAUUCUUCAACCAUACUUUUACAAAUUAGCUGCACAUUCUAUCCCAAGCUGAACUUGGCAUUUUCCUUUUCCUGUAUCUGGCCGUAUUCGCCUUAUCUGCAAUGUUUUAUCAUGAUAUAGCAAGGGUGAGCAUGAAAGUUGCCCAGCAAG